GGGGGUGCACUGGUUUCGACGGGGAUCGUCGGGCACAUGGUAAGCGAGCCGCGGCCCCUGAACCGCGCAACAACGGGGAACUUAUUGAACUGACAAUAAUCAGCAAUUAGCUUUCGCGGCCUAAGCCGUGAUCGUCGGCCUCAAGCGCUCACGGCUUGAGCCCCCGGCGUCAAUGAUGUGAGGAACGGGCCCGCCUAAGCUUUGCGGCGUGGCCGGCACCAUGAAGCUACCAAACCCGGCAGCCUGACGGCGGGCGGCCGGCAGCGGGAAGUUUAAACCACCGUCUGCGCUCGGAGAAAACCAUGGGUUUGAAUCUUCGGACAGGGGUUCGAUUCCCCUCACCUCCACCA
rnacentral:tmRNA from 1 species